UGAAAAUAUUAUCAUGAUACUUUUUGCUCUGAAAUGAAUUAAAAUUCAGAAUGUUCCCCUGGAUUUGCUGAAGGAAUUUUUUUUUUCUUUUUAUCUCAGAGAGAGAAUACAAGCUAUCCAGGGAGUGUAGUUUCUUGGCGAACUGGAACACACAGAUGAGGGAGUGACUGAAUAUAGAUACAGUAUUUGGAUAACCAGAAUAUGCUGUUGAUCCCAGUGAAGCAUGCAGUAGCAGUGGUCCUGGAAGACAGUUACAGUCUGAUUGGUUUCCAGAGAGCUAUAUGGAGAAUUCCAUUCCUAAGACAGUCUGGAAGCAGGGUGUGUCAAAAUUCACCAAUCCUGCAAAACCUUGUGGAGAAGAAAAAACAUCCUGAGAGGUGCCUGGAAUCCUUUCUGGCUGCUUUGGGCUGCAAGUCUGGCACAUCGCUGGGAACAAGGUGACUUUGUACCCUACUUUAGAAAACAGGUAGAAUUCAAUUUAGCAUUUAGAGACAGAAGACUUCUAGGCUCAUAGUUCUCUAAAAAGAAGGAAGAAAAGUAAUUGACUGGGCUCAAAAGAAGAUAAAACAGUCAGAGCUCUGUUCAGCUUACUGAAGAUAAGAGAAGAAUCACACAGUAAUAUGCAGUUGAGGACUGCCACGCUCUCAAUAAGGCCACUAACAAUAAAUGGAUUUCUGACUCUUUUUAAACACAUUUUUAUACGUAAUAUUCUUGUUUUAUAGAGAAGUAAACCACAGUGAGAUACCUGCUCACAAACCUAAGGUUCAGUAAUGUCCAAAGUGUGGGUGGGUGUACCUGUGGUUCUGCCUAUGUCCCCAUCGGCAUAAACAGACUCACCAACACUAUUACUGAUGCAUUCCUGAUGUCAUCAUGACAUUAAUUAAGCCUCUAGAAUGGAAAUGGAAUUAAAACUCUACACUUUUUCUUCUAGGCCUCAGACAGGUCUCAAAAAAGUUCAGAACUUUCUCAAACUCUAAGAUUUUCUCGUGUCCUCAUCUGCAGCAACAGACUUAGAAGUCACCUCUGCAGUAGGAUGUAGAGUCAAUGGAACUUCUGUGGAAGAUGCACAUAUUGAAAUAGUUGUACUAACUCCUAUGCUUGCAAUAAACAACUGAAAAAGGAGAAAGCUAUUAACAUAUAGCAGUAUAAUAUUCACUGGUUGUCCUUCACCUUUAAAAGGCAAUCGCUUUGUUUAUUCACACUGGGGACUUGGACCCAAGUUCUGCAAUGAGUUAUACUAGUGUAAAUUUAAAGUAAGCUCCGUAUGAGUGCAGUUAAUAAAAAUUCACAAAAAUGAAACUGGAGGUGAAACUUACCUGGCCAAACAGCUUUGUUUAGCCUCUUUAGAGUUCUGGCUGUCUCCCCAGAUCUUUCACUAGAUGUGAUCUGACUGGAAAAAUCACAUGAAAAUGCUGUGAAGGAUAUAAAGAAUGUGAAAGAGAUGAUUUCUUAAAUGGUUUUACUUGCCAAUACCUUGG
rnacentral:lncRNA from 1 species